rnacentral:lncRNA from 1 species
CUGCACGCCAGAGUCAUAAUCAACCUUAAGGGGAACUUCAGCGAAAGGAACCAAAGAAACCUGCAGACUCUGUAUCUUUACCCAGGGAUCGCUUCCUGGUGGUGAAUGUAAGCAGCUCUUCUGUGGCAUGGAGCAAUCACUAGGUGCAGUAACAGUACACUGCAAUGUGCAAAGAGGGAAAUGAAGACGAGCUCAUCCAAAGGAAACUACACAGGCAUUUUAGAUCAGCCCAAUGCAAUUAUCCAAGCUGGAAUCAUUCCAGGACACCAAGCCACACACUAAAGGUCAAAAGCAGAGGAGUGCAAGAGAUCUAGCCGAGCACUAGAGACCC